UUGUCGGCCAAAAAAUUAAAUAAGCCCCCGGCGAGGAUCGAACUCACGACCUUUCGCUUACGAAGCGAACGCAAUACCACUAUGCUACGGAGGCAAUUUGUCCUAUGUCUGAAACGUCUCUUUUAAAAAUUGCAGACCAAAGAAGCUUCGUUCAAACUUUCGACGGGAAGGAGACGAGAGAGAGAGAGAGAGACACCGCCGGAAAUAUGUGCGGCGUUCGUAUCGAGCUCUCGACACCUCUCUUAGAACCUCGUUUCGAACAAUUCUCUGUUGAAGAUUUGAAUCCUGAUAGUGUAGGCGAAAAGAAGAUUCUUCUUCAACCAACAAUCUGUGACUCUCUCUGUUCUUGAGGCUAGUGAAGGAGCUUCUAAGCUUUAGAAUACUACUCCUACUACUUUGUACGGGUGAAUUGCAUUUUAUAGGUUCCCCAUUGCAGCUCAGAGGAGCUACUCUCUGUAAUCCAGCCAUUGGUGGAAGGAGUUGAUUGAAUGGGAAAGGAACUUAGUUAUACCAAGACCUGAAGAUCAGUCAAUUUCGUCGCUUUGCAGAAUUCAAGAAGAGAAAGGCAAUGAUAUUUCAGGGAGAAAAAGAAGUUGUCCCAGUAGCUGUUCUAUUCUCUGGUGGAUUAGAUUCAGUGAUUCUAGCUGCUCUAUUGGAUCAGUGCCUUUAUCCAAAAUAUGAAGUUGAUCUACUUAAUGUCAGUUUUGAUGGUGCAAAUGCUCCUGAUAGGAUCUCCGCCAAGGCUGGAGUAAAGGAACUUAAAAAGAUUGCACCGUUGAGAAGGUGGAAACUUGUCAAAACUAGCAUUCGAGACAAAGCGUGCCAUGUCACUCAUAAAUCCUGCGGAUACUUACAUGGACCUUAACAUUGGAACAGCACUCUGGCUUGCUGCUCGCGGUGAUGGUUGGAUCCACAAAGAAAGAGAAAAUCAAACAGUAGAAUACUGCUUGUUGGCGCUGGUCCUGAUGAACAAUUUGCUGGUUAUGGUAGGCACAGAACAAAAUAUAGAAACGGGAGGAAAAGUAAUGAGAUAGAUAUUUUUCUGUAACCUCACCGAGAGAUUAGAGUUAGAUGUUAAUCAAGACUAGAAGGUGAGCUUUUAAGGAAGAAAUGCGUCACCUUGGAGUACAAGAUCCUUAAGGAUGAUGAAGGGAUGAUGAUAAUGGAGUAAGAGAGAGAAAGAGAUGAGAGGAAAUGUUAUUUUGAUUGAUACCUUCUUAAGAAAAUGACAAAGAGUACUUAAAGGGAAAUGCUGGCAAGGUCUAACACGUGACCAGUAAACCGGUAUGCAAACCGGGAAUCUUAUGAAAAUAGUAAAAGAGCCGUUAAGAGAUAAGAUCAGAGGAAUAUGCUGUCACAAUACCCCCUGCUUGAAAUCAUCCUUGUCCUCAAGGAUGGAAUUGAGGAUGCUUGGCGAUGAAGUAUUUGUAGAAUUCCCAAGUGGCCUGUUCAGGAGUCUCACCCUUCCAUUGGACUAGGACCUUAGUGACAGCAGCAUUACGACGCUUAGCCAUCUUAGUUUCCAAAAUCUGCUCCGGUUCCUUAGAAGUGCCAAGAUCAACAUAGAAUUGAGGAAGACCUGAUGAAGCAGCUUGAGGGUUUGGGCACAGCUUCAGCUGGCUCACAUGGAAUACGUUGUGAAUGGCUGCGCCCGCGGGUAAAUCCAGUCGAUAAGCAGCAGACCCGACAGUGUCUAGAACACGGAAAGGACCAUAGUAGCGAGGAAAUAGUUUGUGUGGUACCUUCCUGUUCUUAAGUGAGUUCUGGCUGUAGGGUUGAAGCUUCAGGUAAACAUAGCUACCCACUGUGAAGGACCGUGGAGAGCGAUGAGAAUCAGCAGCUUGCUUGUUUCUGUUCUGAGCUCGCAGCAAGUGAAACUUCAACAUAGAGAUGACCUCUUCGCGUUUUUGUAGGCUCCGAUCAACCAAAGCAGAUUUGCUUUCACCUGGAAGGUAUGGAAGAUGAGUAGGAGGAGGUUGACCGUAGACUAUUUCGAAUGGUGUGCUCCUGAUGGCAGAGUGGUAUGUUGUGUUGUACCACCAUUCAGCAAGAGGGAGCCAUUUGCUCCAUGUUUGCGGAGUCUCAGCGGUCAUACAUCUUAGGUAAGUCUCCAAGGUCUUAUUAGUUACCUCUGUCUGCCCGUCGGUUUGAGGAUGGUAGGCAGUAGAGUAACGUAGAUCAACCCCAUGGACCCGGAAGAGCUCUUUCCAAACGUCACUGAGGAAUGUAGGAUCGCGAUCGCUGAUUAUGUCUUUAGGGAGGCCGUGAAGCUUGAACACAUUGUCUAGAUAGGCUUGUGCAACUUCAAUAGCAGUGUAGGGGUGGGAGAGUGCUAGGAAGUGAGCCUGUUUGCUCAACCUAUCAAUAACCACCAAUAUACAGUGUUUGCCAGCAGACUGUGGGAGACCUUCAAUGAAGUCUAAGCUGACUGACUCCCAAACACCGUUAGGGAUUGGUAAUGGAUUCAGUAGACCCGGCUUGGCCACAUUCUCAUACUUGUUCUUCUGAUAGACAUCGCAAUUGCGCACAUAGUUCUGCACCUCGAGGCUCAUUUUUGACCAAAAGAAGAGUGAUUUGAUCCUGUGGAGGGUUGCAUCUCUGCCUGAGUGUCCUCCUAUAGCCGAGUCGUGGAGCCAACGGAAGAUGUGUGUUUUUAUGUUCACAUUGUUCCCCACGACGAGCUUUCCCUUGCGUCUUAGUUCCUCGUUGAUGAAGGUGUAAGAAGGGUGGGAUUUAGGGUCAGCUUGCAGCUCAGAUAUGAUCUUGCGUAGCUUAGGAUCACUCUGCCAGAGCAAACGCAGAGAGUCGUAGAAGCCUUGGUGCGCUUGAGACAACGUCAUGUGUAGCAGUUGCGAACCAGAAACCCUUGAGAGAGCAUCUGCAGCCACGUUUUCUUUUCCCAACUUGUAUUGGAUCUCAAAGUCGUACCCCAUCAGCUUAGAGAGCCACAUGUGUUGAAAUGGUGUUGUUGCUUUUUGCUCGACCAUAUACUUGAGGCUCUUUUGAUCCGUUUUGAUGAUAAAACGUCGAUGAGCAAGGUAAGCGUUCCAAGCUUGGACUGCGUGGACAACAGCCAUUAAUUCUUUCUCGUAGACAGAGAGGGCUUGGUGUCUUGGACCCAGAGCUCUGCUGAUGAAGCAUAUGGGGUGGUUGUCCUGCAUAAGGACUGCUCCAAUUCCAGUGUUGCUAGCAUCAGUUUCAACCACAAACGUCUUGUCGAAGUCUGGUAGUGCUAGGACCGGAGAUGAGGAAAGCGCAGACUUGAGGUUAUCCAGAGCUGUAUCAGCUUCGGAGUUCCAUAGGAAACCAUCUUUCUGCAGCAGAGUAGUGAGAGGACGAGACAAAACGCUAUACCCUCGUAUGAAGCGUCUGUAGUAGUUAGCAAGGCCGAGGAAACUGCGCAGUUGCUUAACAGAGGUAGGAGUAGGCCAUUGCUUGAUAGCGGCGAUCUUGGAGGGGUCUGUUCUUACUCCUUCAGCUGAAAUAAAGUGACCGAGAUACUCAAUUUCGGUCGCUCCAAAGGUGCACUUAGAAGCUUUGAGGUAGAGCUGUUGAUGUCGCAAGAUGGAGAACACUUCCUGUAGGUGUUGGAGGUGCGACUCCCAGUCAGGGCUGUAGACCAAAAUAUCAUCGAAGAAGACCAAAAGGAACUUCCGAGAUAUGUCUUGGAAAACAUGGUUCAUCAGACUCUGGAAUGUGCAUGGAGCAUUAGAGAGGCCGAAAGGCAUUACCAAAUACUCGUAGUGGCCUGCGUGAGAUUUGAAGGCAGUCUUGUACACAUCACUUGGCGACAUCCGUAGUUGAUGGAAGCCUGCGCAAAGAUCCAGUUUGGUGAAGUAUUUCGCUCCACCUAACUCAUCCAGGAGAUCUUCAAGCAGAGGUAUUGGGUAUUUAUCUUUAACAGUUUGGUUGUUGAGGCCUCUGUAGUCCACACAUAGUCUCCAUGAUCCAUCUUUCUUUUUGACUAGGACAAUGGGAGAGGCGUACGGGCUAGAGCUGCACUGUAUUAUACCCUGUUGUAGCAUCUCCUUCAGCAUUUCAUCAAUGGCAUCUUUUUGCAGAGAGGAGUAUCUGUAGGGUCGUAGGUUAACAGGGUUCGAACCGGACUGCAGGGGUAUCUGAUGAUCAAAGCCCUCGCGAAAUGGUGGAAGCGCAGUUGGCUCGGAGAACACAUCGGAGAAGGAUUCUAGUAGUUGUGUCAGAGCUGGAUCCUUGGAGAAUUCACUUUGUGGCGCUGAGAUAUGGCAGUAGAGAGACUCUGGUGAGAGCGGAGAUGACUCUGCUACUCGCUCCCGCACUUGUAGCAAAGCUAUCUGUGGUUGUUGGAGCAUAAGCUUAUUCAAGCUGGCUCCUUUGAUCAGUUUGCAACCCGUUUUUGUAACGCCCCGCAAGUGAUGUUGCAGACCGUUGAAAGUGAACUCCAUACUGAGGUUCAGGAAGUCCCAGAGGAUAGGCCCAAGAGUGGAUAACCACUGGACUCCAAGUACAAGCUCACAGCAGUCCAGAGGCAGUGUGCGAAUCUCCGAGGUAAAGGUGUAGUUUUGAACCGUCCAAGUGAAGUUGCUGCAUUUAAAAUUUGUCACCAAGUUGUUCCCAUUUGCAGCAGCCACAGACAUUGGAUUUACUGCUUCUAAGCGACAACCCAGCUCGUUGGCAACCUUGAUGUCGAGAAAGUUGUGUGUACUGCCUGGGUCAAUCAAGAUAAAGAGCUUCCUUUUUCCAUACUGGCCAACCACUCUCAUGCAGUUGAACGUCGUCGAGCCACUGAGAGCGUUCACUGAAAUGGUAGGGGUUGGUUCGGAUGUAUUCUCCUCGAGGGUUUGGUCUGGGAAGAUCUCAGCAUCAUCUACGUCGACACUCUCAGCGUCAUCAUCGUCACCGUCCAUAACGAAAAUCUGAGAGCGUUUGUGCUUGAUUUGGUGCCCUGGUGUGAAUGCCUCGUCACAGAACAUACACAAUCCUUUGGCACGACGCUCCUGCAUCUCUUGGUAACUGUAUUUUCGGGUGGGUUUGUCGUUGGUGUUUUUGGGGAUAAAGGUGGGUUUGUUUGGUGGUGUGGGUAGUAUGGGUGUUGUAUUCUGAGGUUUAAAGGGUGGGUUUUUGUUUGUUGAGGGAUUGAAGGGAGCUCGCUGGUAACGGUUGGGUGUGUGGGUAAGGGCGGUUUCGUGGAGGCAAGCUAUUUGUGCUGCUGCAGACACUGUGGUUACUCCGAACUGACGCACAUGGAGGAAAAGAUGUGGGUUCAUGUUCGUCAGGAAUAUACUGAGAGCGUGAGCCUCAGGGAGAGUGAGUCGAGUUCUAGCGUUCUCGAACUUGUCCAGAUAGGUGAUGAUAGAGUCAGAGCCUUGAUGAAGAGCCACCAGAUCUGCAAGUGGGUCGUCAAAAAGGGCGUUGAAGCGACUCGAUAAAGCUAUCACGUAGUCGGUCCAAGAGGGAAAAACCCCAAAGCGCUCCGCCAUGAAGUUGCGGUGCCAUUGGAGAGCUUUUCCGCGGAGGUGCAUCGCAGCAAGUCGGACCUUGAGCUCCGGCGUGGUGCCGUCUAGGUCGAAGAACUGCUCGCAGAUACAGAUCCAAUCGCGGAGGUCUGUACCGUCAAAGGUGGGAAAACCCACUUUUGUUAAUCGUCCAGCGAGACCGUUGGUGACUGGGGGAGGAGGAGGGUCUCUGGUCGGCUGUUGCGGAAAACGGAAUAGAUCCGGUGGGUCUGGGGGUCUGUUGGGCUCGGCGGAGGUGGGGUCCAUCAUUUGUGAGCCACCAGCGUCGUCGACGGGUCUUUUACCGGCUGAUUGGAGCUGCGGGAGGUUCUCAAAGACCAGUCGUUCGAGCCUGUUGUAGCGGUCGUCGAGGGAGUCAGACCGUUGACGAAGCUCAGAAGAUUGGCGUUCCUGGUUUGUACGGAUCUCUUCGACCAGCUCCAGGAGCGUCUUUUCUUGGUUUCUCGUUUCCACCAUGAUGAAAUCCCUAGGAUUCGACUGCUCUGAUACCAAAAUGAGACAGGAAAAGUAAUGAGAUAGAUAUCUUUCUGUAACCUCACCGAGAGAUUAGAGUUAGAUGUUAAUCAAGACUAGAAGGUGAGCUUUUAAGGAAGAAAUGCGUCACCUUGGAGUACAAGAUCCUUAAGGAUGAUGAAGGGAUGAUGAUAAUGGAGUAAGAGAGAGAAAGAGAUGAGAGGAAAUGUUAUUUUGAUUGAUACCUUCUUAAGAAAAUGACAAAGAGUACUUAAAGGGAAAUGCUGGCAAGGUCUAACACGUGACCAGUAAACCGGUAUGCAAACCGGGAAUCUUAUGAAAAUAGUAAAAGAGCCGUUAAGAGAUAAGAUCAGAGGAAUAUGCUGUCACAUUUUGUUUUGUUUUACAGUUGGGUUGCGUUGGAUCAAGAAAUGAAGUUGGAUAUGCAGAGGAUUUGGAAAAGAAACUUAGGUCGAGAUGAUCGAUGCAUUGCAGAUAAUGGUAAAGAGGCGCGAUUCCCAUUCUUGGAUGAAGAUGUGAUAAAGACUCUCCUUGACAUUCCCUUGUGGGAAAUAGCUGAUCUUGAGCAACCAAGUGGAAAGGGAGACAAGAAGAUUCUUAGACAGGUUGCGAAGUUGCUUGGUUUACCUGAAGAUGCCUAAGAGAGCAAUACAGUUUUUGCGGAUUGACGGGUACCCGCACUGAAUUUUGACUGACCCGCACCAGCCCCGCAUAAAAAUCACUCAAUCCGCACCCGCACCCGCGAACCAAAUUUUUCAAAUCACUCAAUCCGCCCCGCAGCGGGUCAAAUGGGGCAGGGCCCGCGGAUAAUGAUUCAUAUUCCCAGCACUAGUUUCAAGAGAUUUUGGAUUCAAACCAGUAAAAAGUUGAAAGUUGAAAGAAGUAACCGUGCCGCAAACCAGGCCUCUGCUGGGAGCGUGAGAUUCCACGCAGCAUGAGACUGAAAAGACUCAUUAUAUCUAUGAUCCCUAGACUAGACAGACAACCUAUUGUUAGAUCACAUUUUUUUGUGUUGUAUUGUAUACAUACAAACAGUGUCCUGCAAAAGUUUUAGGGGGCCUAAGGCAAAAACAAUAAAUGGUUUAUUCAAUC